rnacentral:rRNA from 1 species
AGAGUUUGAUCCUGGCUCAGGAUGAACGCUGGCGGCGUGCUUAACACAUGCAAGUCGAACGGGAAACUUUUCAUUGAAGCUUCGGCAGAUUUGGUCUGUUUCUAGUGGCGGACGGGUGAGUAACGCGUGGGUAACCUGCCUUAUACAGGGGGAUAACAACCAGAAAUGGUUGCUAAUACCGCAUAAGCGCACAGGACCGCAUGGUCUAGUGCGAAAAACUCCGGUGGUAUAAGAUGGACCCGCGUUGGAUUAGCUAGUUGGCAGGGUAACGGCCUACCAAGGCGACGAUCCAUAGCCGGCCUGAGAGGGUGAACGGCCACAUUGGGACUGAGACACGGCCCAGACUCCUACGGGAGGCAGCAGUGGGGAAUAUUGCACAAUGGGGGAAACCCUGAUGCAGCGACGCCGCGUGAAGGAAGAAGUAUCUCGGUAUGUAAACUUCUAUCAGCAGGGAAGAUAGUGACGGUACCUGACUAAGAAGCCCCGGCUAACUACGUGCCAGCAGCCGCGGU